rnacentral:rRNA from 1 species
UUGACCUCAAAUCAGGUAGGACUACCCGCUGAACUUAAGCAUAUCAAUAAGCGGAGGAAAAGAAACUAACAAGGAUUCCCCUAGUAACUGCGAGUGAACCGGGAAAAGCUCAAAUUUUGAAUCUGGCGGUCCUUCGGGCCGUCCGAGUUGUAAUCUAGAGAAGCGUCUUCCGCGCUGGACCGUGUAUAAGUUUCCUGGAAUGGAACGUCGUA